rnacentral:misc_RNA from 1 species
GGAUCCCGACUGGCGAGAGCCAGGUAACGAAUGGAUCC